AUGGGCAGGAACACCUCACACUAGAUCAUGUCGCCCAAACCUCUGUCCAGCCUGGCCUUGAAGACUUCCAGCAAUGGAGCAUUUACCACUUCUUUAGGCAACCUGUUCCAGUGACUGUGAGAUUUACUUCUGGCAGAGGUCUUCAGACUGUUAUGUAACAUAAGAUGGUGAAAAGAAAACCACUAUGUAGGUUGAUCUGAAGGGUUUAUGGAAAAUUAACAUUUCCUAAAAGAUGAGCAGGACAGCCUAAAAGUCUUUAAAACUCCUUUAACUUGUGUUUUGAUUUAGUACCCAGGUACAAUUCAUUGCUCUGCAGAACCACUUAAGUAAAUCAGACAGAAGAGAGCAAUUGGAUAACAUCCUACCUUCACAAUGUCUGUCUUGGGAAUGAGACUUAUUUUCUUUUGACUCCAUGAGAUGAAAGCUUAAAAAGCUUUCAUCAAAAAUGAGAUGAAAGCUUGCUUCAUUGCUUGUGGUCAUUCUCAGAAAAGACAACACAUGAUUUAUUUAUCCCCUUUUCUGAGAGAACUUCCCCUAAAACCACCACAGACUAUAGGGCUGUGGUGAUAGGAUUUUUUUUUACCUCAUUUUUCUUUUUUUCCUAUGGAAAAGCUGGUGAUGUAGGUCUGUACUACUAUCAGUUUAGACUACUGUACAUGUCAGAAGGCUCAGUGUGGUUCACCACCCUGCUUUGCUACGACCAUGCUACAGGAGCUGCCGUAGAAAUAUCAGUGCCAAAGAAGACAUCACAAAAAGGAAAAUAAUGUCUUCUGUACUCCUAUUUCUGCUGUACAGUCCAAAUCCAUACUGGCUACACAAGACAACAUGAGGUGUCUUUUUAUAAGCAAUCACCUUAUUCCCAAAUUUUAAGACUGUCUGGAGGGGAGGGUGAAGACAACAGCCCAAAUCCCAGGUUUCCCUGACUCACUGCUGCGUCGUGGCUGUGUCCUCCAGCUGCUUCCAAAUGUCCGUGUCAGAGGAAAAAGGGAAGGUGAAGGGCCAUCCCUUGAGCAGAAACCAGAUGUAGCUGCUGAGAAUAAAAUAGAGAAGCCACAAGCCUUGCAGAUGGCUGAAGUCCUGAAGGCAUUUCCCAUAUUUCCAAGAAGUUGGUGAAGAGGAGAAAAGGAAUGUUAUCCCCUUACCUCCCUUCCCAGUUUCCUCAGCUCUUUGAUCUGAUUUUUCAUGGACUAAAGAUGAUUCACUGAGUAACUGACCCAAAUGUGUUCAGUGCUUCUUGAGAGCUGUGUCCAGUGUAACAGCAAGCCAUAAGGGCAAAUGCAGAAGUGAUGGCAGUGACUUCUCUCAGAGAGAGGGCAAGAACAGUUGUUUGAAUCUUUCCAGGAUUGUGCAGGGUUCUCUCCUGCUUCUUUUUUUUGUGAGAGACUGUGAUGAACUGGGGUUCCUACUGUAUGUGACAAAACAGUACUGCCCAGCUGACUGUGGCUGCUAGCUGUAGCAAUAUUACAAUGAUUAAUCAAACCAGCAGUCCCUAGUAGAUUAACUACAGCCAUUCACUUCAUUGGACAAGCAUUGUACAGGAAUUCAGAAUGCAAACUAUAUUGUCUAAACACACCUAAUGGAUUAGCAUUAAAGCUCACAUGAAAAUCCUUGAGGUCAAAUGCUAAUUUUGAAUGCCUACAUUAACUACUUAUUUGCAUGUUCAAAAGUAUUUAACUGAUGUUUUGCAUCAACAUGUCUUUACCAAUAAUUCAAGACAUGUGACAAUUUAUAUGUCUAGAGUUACAAUUAAAAGUAAGAAAACUCAGACCUGGUGGUUAAUUGUAAAAUGCAGUGAACCCGAACUGAAGGGUAAUUCAUUGGCUGUUUUCUACUGAUGGUGUUUCAAUGGCCAACUUAAAGAUAUUGAUGCUUCAUCAACUGAAUGAGAAUAUGCAGAUUUUUCCCAGAUCAUAUAAGCUAAGAGAGAUCCCAUCACAACUCUAAUCAGAACAGCAGCAGAGCACAUUGCAAUUACACAGCUGUUUUUUCUCAGCACCACCCAGAGCGAGACCCAUUACAAUUGGAUUCAUUACAAAACCACUCUUCUCUAAUAUUUACAGCACUCUGUUAUAACUGACCAUCAGAUGUCUGGAGUUUAAACACAUAUUCAUUAGGAUUGUGGUAGGCAUUCUGUGAUAGCUCUAAGUGUUAUGCUCCAUUCCUCCAGCUUCAGGGUUUGCUAUGAGCUGCACUUGCUCCAUACAGCCUUUAAAAGAUACUGAGCUUUGUGAAUUUUUCCUGUUAAUAUAGACUGUAUCUCAGACAAGUGGAGUUUUAAUAAGUUUCCAAGUCUUUCAGGCUAGAAGUGGAGGUGGCACUCUCUGAAAGAAGUUACAGAAAUUAAACUUGGAACAUAUUUAGCCUAUAUUGGAGCUUGAGGCUUGCAGGCACCAUCAUAUUCCUCUCUACAGCUGUGUAUUUAGAAGCUGUUGAAAGUUAAGUUUUCUUACUUUUUUUAAAAUGAUUUUGCAGCAAUGUAACUGGGUCAUAGACACCAGCAAAAGCUGGACAGGAUCCUCCAAGUGCUUUGGAUAUUUUUGGAAGAAUAUGGUACAUGGCUGUUUCCUGCGGGGAAUGGAGAAACACUUGACAAUAUCCUCUUUGUGGGAAUUUACAGUUGUUCUUUAGUACUGAUGGUAUUUUGUAUCAACAUUGAUGGACAAAAUGAAGGGAUAUGAAAUGCACUGAUGACUAAACUGCAGAAGACUACAGGCAGAAAGGCUAGUGAAACCAGCAGCCAUUUUCGUGUAAGGUUUAAUUUAUUUCUCUGCUACAGAGCUGGGCAGAGAGUCCUUGUGAGCAGUUCAGUUUCAUUUUCGCCAAUAUACGUACGUAUUUUCUCCAGAAUGUACGGCUCAUUCACCCUACAUCUCCUGGGAAGGCAGGGGAGCUCUCUGUAGGACAGCCACCAGAUACUCCCAUGACCAUGCCUGCUCUCCAUGAGCUCUGCAGUGCCUCUGCAUCAAGAGAAGUGCAUGGGGAGACAGGGGAGGUGGCAGUGAUGGGACAGGGAUGAGUGGGGAAGGCUGUCAAAGACAGCAGUAGAUGAAGGGCAUGGGAUUACAGUCACAGUUUGGGGAAAUGGUAAAGCACCUGCAAGGUGGUGAGUUUCUUCACUGUACCAAAGCUGUACCAGAUAAAUUUUUAGGACCAUCUGGUGUACAAGGAACGUAAAAUGGUCCUUGAUAUAGUGUGGAAACAACUAUCCCCAAAUGAGUUACUUAAGUUGAAAAACUACUUA